CCAGGAGCAGAGGCAGGAUCACCCCCUGCAUGAAUAAAACCUACCACUAAGAAGCAGAGUUUCUCCAAGAGAAUGGUCAGGAUCAAGACUCUGAGCUCUGCUUUGAAGUGAAUGGAAAGCCAAGAGAGCCACAAAGUAAAUCUUCACAUCAGUCUUCAUUGCUAAUGAGGUAUAUAUGAGCAAAUAGAAGGGAGAUGGGAUCGAUAAGUCUAAGCAACAAAGAAGUGGACUGUAAAACCUGACAAUGUGCAGCCAAAUAAGGAAAAUCACCAUCAAACAUGUUUUAAAAGUACAUUCAUUCACAUCAAAGGAAGUCCAAGUACAAGAGGGACAGCUUGGACACUUGAAUCUAGUAUAGAAUCCAGGCUUCAAGAAAGACAUCUGCCAUAGGAGCAGCAAAAAUGAAGGCCCUGUUCAGAAUUAAUAUCCAGAAUCCAGUAAAAUACACACUGUAAGGACUGUAGGUCAAGAAUAAAAACAUGGAUUUAUAUAUAAUAUAAAUUAAUGACAUUCCAUAGAACUGGAAGAAUAUUAUAGUAAUGAGUACAGGUUUUACCUGAAGUUACUUGAAUCUUACAUGCAAAGCAACAGGAAAAGAAAAAUCUUUCAGCUAAGUCAGUCGCAGUCUGUUCCUAAAGAAAUCCUCAGCUUUUCAUCCCUGCAAAAUAGUAGACCUAUUUUGUAUAUCUUUAGAGUGGAACAUGAUUACUAUUUUCCAUUGAUGUGGAUUUUACAGAUUCUUUCUGCCAAAUAUUCACAUAAACAGUGUAUGGAAAGUGUGAAGAGAAAAAGAGGAUAAGAGAAAGGGAGAACUCAUGGCUGCUUUCCAUGACAGAAAAGAAAUAGUUUCAAGUACACAUAUGAACAACAGAUGUAGAAAUAUUAAAUAUUCCAGUGCUAAGCAAAUGAAUUCAUCUAAUAACCUCAUUACAGAAGACCGCAAAGCUGUGAAAAUGCAUUAUCUGCAAGAAUACUUAAGCCUGAACAAAACAGCAUUCUGACUGUGCCAAAACCAAGCAUGCAAGACUAGAAGACAUUAAAUCUCUUGAAAGAAAAUAUGCUUCUUAGAUUGUAGGUUUUUUUGUGGGUAUUGAUUCAAAUAAACAUUGCAAUGACA